rnacentral:lncRNA from 1 species
AUUCCUUAGGAAGGAUAUUGGGAUGGAGCUUGGCUUGUAACCAUUGAAUUGAGUAAUCAGAAGGCCAGAGGAGCCAUGCCAUCUGAAAGUCAAUGUGGAUAGUUUGGAAGAAAGAUGGAAGGGCCCUGGAUCCUGCCCAGAGAGACCAGCUGGGGCCAUAGACCUGCGUAAGACUGAUAAAUCAGGCAAGGAGAAGUGAGUUACUGUAUAAGGAGCCUAAGGAUACAGAUGAAGGUUUUGGUGCUCUCCAUUCAUCCAUCCAUCAUUAGACAGUGCUUCUCCAGAGAUGACAAGAUGUGAUUGCCUGAAACAAAUGCAUAUUAUUUCUUCCUGAGUAGACCUUUCCCUCUUUCCAAGGUAAUAAUCAUGCAUUCACACAGCUCUCAUUUGGUACUGUUUUCCAAGUGACUGAGGAAGGAGUGGUAAUCAAGUGAACUUUGGAGACAAAAAAAAAUCCUUAUGGGAAUCUUCAAAAAGUGUUUCUUUAAAAAUGAGAUUGCUCUGUCUUCCGAUGGCUGUUUUUUAUUUAGGCUGGAUAUGUUCUUUUACUAUCUUGCUUGUAAAUUACUGGAAGAUUGUCUUCAUUUCUUUUCAGGCUUCACACUGAAAGGUCAUCAAUUAUGAUAAUAGAACAAAUCAAAAAGUUUCCAGCAAACAGAAAUUCUUCAUUUCCUGGCUCCUACUCAAGUUUAUUGAUUGGACUAUUGGGUAAGACAAUAAAUUUCAUGUAGAACUGUUAGAAAAGCUUUUG